AAUUCAAAUCAAAAUAAAAUUUCGAUUCAAUUUUUUGAUUUAAAUCAAAAUAUGCCCCACACUACUGAUGUAUGCCUAUGCCUGUAAUUACGGUGCAAAUACAAAAUUCACCCUUCCUCACAGUUCACUCACAUAUCUUCAAAAUAAGGUACACAUACCACACAAACCCGUAUUCACAAAAUUCAUCUUUUACACACACUAAACAUCCCCAGUUGAAAAAAAAUAUGCACAGCUUCACAUCUCACACGCAAAUACACAUCAAAAUGUAAAUCAGUGAACGGAGAGAAUUGAGAAGAGGAGGAAAACAGUGUUAAUUGACCACUCCCCGGAAAAUCCAUUAAAAUCAACCCCCGUGGUUGAUUCCAGUGAAACCCACCGGAAAACUCUCAAAUAUUCUUCAACUGGCAAACUGACUCCCCAUCGGCGCUAUUCCGGCGAAUUGUCGCCGAAAAUCUCCCUCAAAUCUCGCCGGAAUCCGCUUCUAUGCCGGCGUCGCACCCCUCUCCCCUCUCCAGCGCCAGAUCUGGCCAGAACCACCACCACCGACGAAGCCCCAUGGCUGCCGCCCCUUUCCCGUCGUUGGUGAACCCCCCUCUCCCCAUUCCCGGCGAAACCAGUCGGUAACCAAUUCAAAACCGGCGACCCACAGCCCGCACACACCAAUCUGCGCACAAACCCACCGAAAAAUGUACGCACGCAUUGAUUUACGCACUGCUACACAUAUAUACAGUGAUCAACGCACAUAGUAACACAUACAUACAGUAAAACGAUGGGAAUCGAAAUGAACAAAUUUUGUUAAUUAUUCUUGAAUUAUAUUGGAUGAAAUUUGUUUUCUUAACGAUGAUGUUGGUAACUUUGGGCGGUUUAGUGGUUCCACAGUGUAAUGUGUGAAAGGGAAAUUUUAUUUUAAAAGUAGAGUUGUUGCUAGUAGAUAUUAAUCUUUAGGCAUUUAAAAGUGAUUUUUAUUUAUUUCUAUUCAUUGUCAUUAAUA
rnacentral:lncRNA from 1 species